UACGGGGGGGGUAAGCGUUGUUCGGAAUUACUGGGCGUAAAGGGCUCGUAGGCGGCCAACUAAGUCGGACGUGAAAUCCCUGAGCUUAACUGGGGAACUGCGUCCGAUACUGGAUGGCUUGGAUUUGGGAGAGGGAUGCGGAAUUCCAGGUGUAGCGGUGAAAUGCGUAGAUAUCUGGAGGAACACCGGUGGCGAAGGCGGCAUCCUGGACCAACAUUGACGCUGAGGAGCGAAAGCUAGGGGAGCAAACGGG
rnacentral:rRNA from 1 species